rnacentral:rRNA from 1 species
CGGCCCCCUGGACAAGACUGACGCUCAGUUGCGAAAGCGUGGGGAGCAACAGGAUUAGAUACCUGGUAGUCACGCUGUAAACGAUGUCGAUUUGGAGGUUGUUCCCUUGAGGAGUGGCUUCCGGAGCUAACGCGUUAAAUCGACCGCCUGGGGAGUACGGCCGCAAGGUUAAAACUCAAAUGAAUUGACGGGGGCCCGCACAAGCGGUGGAGCAUGUGGUUUAAUUCGAUGCAACGCGAAGAACCUUACCUACUCUUGACAUCCAGAGAAUUUAGCAGAGAUGCUUUAGUGCCUUCGGGAACUCUGAGACAGGUGCUGCAUGGCUGUCGUCAGCUCGUGUUGUGAAAUGUUGGGUUAAGUCCCGCAACGAGCGCAACCCUUAUCCUUUGUUGCCAGCACAUUAUGGUGGGAACUCAAAGGAGACUGCCGGUGAUAAACCGGAGGAAGGUGGGGAUGACGUCAAGUCAUCAUGGCCCUUACGAGUAGGGCUACACACGUGCUACAAUGGCGUAUACAAAGAGAAGCGACCUCGCGAGAGCAAGCGGAACUCAUAAAGUACGUCGUAGUCCGGAUUGGAGUCUGCAACUCGACUCCAUGAAGUCGGAAUCGCUAGUAAUCGUAGAUCAGAAUGCUACGGUGAAUACGUUCCCGGGCCUUGUACACACCGCCCGUCACACCAUGGGAGUGGGUUGCAAAAGAAGUAGGUAGCUUAACCUUCGGGAGGGCGCUUACCACUUUGUGAUUCAUGACUGGGGUGAAGUCGUAACAAGGUAACCA